AACCCUAGGCAGGGGAUCACUCGGCUCAUGGAUCGAUGAAGACCGCAGCUAAAUGCGCGUCACAAUGUGAACUGCAGGACACAUGAACACCCGAUAAGUUGAACGCAGUAUUGCGCGUCGGACGAUUAAACCCGGCCGAUGCACACAUUCUUGAGUGCCU
rnacentral:rRNA from 1 species